rnacentral:rRNA from 1 species
UACGUAGGGGGCAAGCGUUGUCCGGAAUCAUUGGGCGUAAAGAGCGCGUAGGCGGCCCUGUAAGUCCGCUGUGAAAGUCAAGGGCUCAACCCUUGAAUGCCGGUGGAUACUGCAGGGCUAGAGUUCGGAAGAGGCGAGUGGAAUUCCCGGUGUAGCGGUGAAAUGCGCAGAGUAUCAGGAAGAACACCCGUGGCGAAGGCGGCUCUCUGGACCGAUACUGACGCUGAGGCGCGAAACGUGGGGAGCAAACAGGG